rnacentral:rRNA from 1 species
UGGGGAAUUUUGCGCAAUGGGCGAAAGCCUGACGCAGCAACGCCGCGUGGAGGAUGAAGGUGCUCUGCAUCGUAAACUCCUGUCGGCCGGGAAGAAGGGGUAUGGGGCUAAUAGUCCCGUGCUUUGACUGUACCGGCAAAGGAAGCCCCGGCUAACUCCGUGCCAGCAGCCGCGGUAAUACGGAGGGGGCAAGCGUUACUCGGAAUUAUUGGGCGUAAAGGGCGCGUAGGCGGUCCUGUGCGUCGGAGGUGAAAUCCCCGGGCUCAACCCGGGAACUGCCUCCGAUACGGCGGGACUUGAGUCCGGGAGAGGGGAGCAGAAUUCCCAGUGUAGCGGUGAAAUGCGUAGAUAUUGGGAGGAAUACCAGUGGCGAAGGCGGCUCCCUGGACCGGUACUGACGCUGAGGCGCGAAAGCGUGGGUAGCAAACAGG